AUGAUGAUGAUGAUGAUGAUCAUAUGGAUGUGCGGUAAUGCAACUAAAAUGUUCUGUAUCGCAACGCGCUUGUUCGGUAAAGCAUCUCUUGUUCGUUAUUGCAACUUUUUUGUUCGCUAUUGCAACUCCGUGUUCGGUUUUGUAACUUGAAUAAUUUUGUUUUUUUAUUAAGUUGUUACGUCGUCAGCCGGCUCAAAAUAAUUUUCGUUCAAAGUUAAUUGAGCAGACAAAAAUUUGUUUGGUGAGUAAAGUAAAUUAUUGAUAUUAAAACAAAAUUGUAUUUUUGAGAAGUAAAUUUAUGGAAAUCUAAUAUAUAUCAGUAGCCUAUAUAAUUACACACGUGUUUAAAGUUUUAAAAAUCUUUUAUUUAAUCUUUAUUUACAAAAUUUACACGAAAAAAGCAAUUAACUAAAAUGUGUGUAGAUAUUUUUGAGUACAAUCAAUUUUGAAGUUUAUCCAACUUUACAAAUCAAUUUGUGAUAUACCUAAAAGGUAUAAGCUGGCUUGAAUCAAAGUGAUUUAUAUCGAUUUCUACUCAACAGUUGAGUAAAAGUUUAUUUAAACCACUCUGAUACUAUAUAGCUAGAAUCUAAGUUGUGUAAGUAAACUUCUACUUAAAAUUUCACCUAAAACAUUACAAAUUUAACCAGCUUAUAAAAAUGUUAUUAAUAAUAUACUAUAUGCUUAUGAUAAUAUUAUUAAUAAUAAUUUAUAUGCUUAUAAUAGUGUUACUAAUAAUAUACAAUGUGCUUAUAAUAAUAUUGUAAAUAAUAGAGUAGUUUAAGUCACUUUUAAGUUGGCAUAAAAGUUAUAAUUUUUAUUUCUUAAGUAUACGGUUGUUUAGUAUUUGUUUGCAAUAAUAAAAGAUUUUAUUCAUAAAGAUUAUUUUCAGAUUAGAUUUUGUCCUUUUUACUCAAGACAAAAUUUAAUCUAGAGAUGGCUAUUUUAAAGAACUCUAUUGACAAAGUUUAGAUGUGGAACUUGUUAUUUGCAAGGGAAAAAGAUAGAUGUUUUUAAACUUCUGGAUCAUACUUUUAAAAUACCUCACUCUAUUGAUGUCAACAUCUGAAGCCUUACAACAGCAUACCUUUCAAUAAUAUCUAACUCAAUAUUACAUCAUUUGUAAAAAUGUGCAUUUGAAUACAAUUAAAAUGUGUCAUUUCUCAGAAAAAUUUAAAAGUGCUUAUUUAAAUUUUUCUAAAUAUGGCAUGUAAUUUUUUAAUGCUUUGAUUCAGACAUUAAAGAUUUGUUAUCAAAACAACAUUUAAAGUUUAAAAAUCAAAUAUCUUCAACAAUUACAACACAAACUAAUUUGCGUAGUUUCAAAAACUGUAUCAAUUUGAUUCUGUAUAUUUGUACAAAGAUAUCAUGAGUGUCUUGUUCCAGCAAUAAAGUCGUAUAUGAAAGAUUUAAAAAGCUUCAUCAACUUACAACAACAUACUCUAGAUUCCAAUAUUAGACUAAAUUUAGACUUAAAAGGUUGUGACAAAACCCUGAAGAUUUAAUUAGAAAAAAAUGUGUUUUGAGUUUAUAUUGUAAAUAUGUUACUAUUUAAAAAGUUUAUCAAAUUGCAUUUGUAUGCAUUUACUUGUAUAUUCUAUUUUAAAAAAGUUUAUUAUAUAUUAAUUAGAUUACUGAUUUAAAACAAA